rnacentral:rRNA from 14 species
AGCCAUCCUUUAAAGAAAGCGUAAUAGCUCACUAGUCGAGUCGGCCUGCGCGGAAGAUGUAACGGGGCUCAAACUGGAUACCGAAGCUGCGGCAGUGUGCUUAGGCAUACUGGGUAGGGGAGCGUUGUGUAAGUGGAUGAAGGUGAAUCGAGAGGUUUGCUGGACAUAUCACAAGUGCGAAUGCUGACAUGAGUAACGAUAAUGGGGGUGAAAAACCCCCACGCCGGAAGACCAAGGUUUCCUGUCCCAUGCUAAUCAGGGCAGGGUAAGUCGGCCCCUAAGGCGAGGCAGAAAUGCGUAGUCGAUGGGAAACGGGUUAAUAUUCCCGUACUUUUAUAUACAGUGAUGGGGUGACGGAGAAGGCUAGGCUGGCGUGGCGUUGGUUGUCCACGUGAAAGUGCGUAGGCUGGUGACUUAGGUAAAUCCGGGUUGCUAAGGCCGAGACACGAGACGAGCUACUACGGUAGCGAAGCAGUUGAUGCCCGGCUUCCAGGAAAAUCCUCUAAACGUAUGUAUAUAAGAACCGUACCCCAAACCGACACAGGUGGUCAGGUAGAGAAUACUAAGGCGCUUGAGAGAACUCGGGUGAAGGAACUAGGCAAAGUGGUACCGUAACUUCGGGAGAAGGUACGCCACUUGGUGUGAAGGGCUUGCCCCGUAAGCACCGAGUGGUCGCAGUGAAAAGGCCCCUGCAACUGUUUAUUAAAAACACAGCACUGUGCAAACGCGUAAGCGGACGUAUAGGGUGUGACGCCUGCCCGGUGCCGGAAGGUUAAUUGAUGGGGUUAGCGCUUGCGCGAAGCUCUUGAUCGAAGCCCCGGUAAACGGCGGCCGUAACGAUAACGGUCCUAAGGUAGCGAAAUUCCUUGUCGGGUAAGUUCCGACCUGCACGAAUGGCGUAACGAUGGGGGCGCUGUCUCUACCCGAGACUCAGUGAAAUCGAAAUCGCCGUGAAGAUGCGGUGUAUCCGCGGCUAGACGGAAAGACCCCGUGAACCUUUACUACAGCUUGGCACUGAACAUUGACCCUACAUGUGUAGGAUAGGUGGGAGGCUUUGAAGCGUUGUCG